rnacentral:rRNA from 1 species
UACGUAGGGGGCAAGCGUUGUCCGGAAUUAUUGGGCGUAAAGAGCGUGUAGGCGGUCCGGUAAGUCGGCUGUGAAAGUCCAGGGCUCCACCCUGGGAUGCCGGUCGAUACUGCCGGACUAGAGUUCGGAAGAGGCGAGUGGAAUUCCCGGUGUAGCGGUGAAAUGCGCAGAUAUCGGGAGGAACACCUAUGGCGAAGGCAGCUCGCUGGGACGUUACUGACGCUGAGACGCGAAAGCGUGGGGAGCAAACAGG